UAUAGUUAUAUGCUUCUUUACGUUUUAUAAUGGACUCUUUACUUCCAUUCCCCUCGUUUUUUAAUAUAAGGAAAAGUUCCAGCUUAGUUAGCGAAGAGCCGGGUGCUGUAGAAGACGAAUUUGACACAUCAUUGGAAUUAAGCAUGGAUUACGGAGUUCGUCAUUCCGCUCUCCUCUUCCAAAACCACACACAAAGUGAUUCAAUUAACGCAAGGUUUUUAAAUUUUUCUUUUGAUAAUAAUAAAAAAGGGAGCUAUCAAGCUUUUAGAGGAUUAAAUUUUCAACCAACUUCUGCUAUUUUCCCUCUUUAUGCUGUGGAGCCAUCCUUCAGUCAACAUUUAAACAGUAGUCCAUGCAUUUCUAAGCAGGUUGAGGCUUUUUAUUGGGAUUCAGCUCGGGUUUCUCGGGAUAAGGCGUAUAUUCCCAGAGCAGUUUUAGAAAGUUUUCUAGAAGAGCAGCGAGUAUUGGAUUCUUCCUUAGAAAAAUUUGAUCCCGCCAACGGGAAUGUCCUGGCCAUGCGCAAGGUUAAAAGCGGGGGCCAUACGCUAUUCUACCCCACCGGGGAAGAACUCACCAAGCUGACUCACAUUUUUGUAGAUCAGGAAAUGACGGAGAACCACUGUUUUUCCCCGGAAGUUGUGGUCUAUGACGUUGGUCACCGAAUAAAACAACUCGUUUGGGGGGGGCCUUCUGGCAGGGGAAUACUUGUGGCACGAUCCUUGUACGAUCUGCACCUGUUCCGGGUCAGCGACGCCAACUACCCACCUGAAAUCUCUUAUAUGGACUGCUUUCGCUUCUCCUCUUGCCUAUAUGAUUCCUGUGUGAAUCCCUUUAGUGGGUUUGAGGAAGUUUGCUCUAUCACCGAACGAGGUACUCUCAGCGCCUGGACUCUUGCACGACUGGCCUUAGUGCAGCAGUCCUGUCUGUCUUCAGUUGGUAUGACGGCGGAACUCUACAGAACCUUUGCUGCCUGUAAGUACACCCUGCAUCCCCGCAAACUGCUAGCUGCCCACGGUCGCGCCGUUUUCUCUUGCGACCUCAGAGAUCGGCCGGCCCUUCUUUGUACUUCCCCCGAUGACUUGUAUUGUCUCGCCCUCCAUCCCGUCCACGAGUACGAGUAUGCUGUCUCCUCAACGGAGCACGUGUCCCUAAUGGACCAGCGGAUGAGAUCAACGCCGGUACUUCGUUGGGCUCAUCACCAGCGCCGCCCUCCUUCCCUCCUCGAGUUUAUGCCGUUUACCCGCCAUAAGCAUACCUGUCUGCUCGCCUGCACCACUUUCGAAAGGCGGAUAUUAUGCUACCAUUACAACUCACGGCCCGUAGACGACCUUGGUCUGUUCCCAAGUUUCUGUACAGACCUAAAGAGCGGUCUGAGACUCCAAACAGUGCAGGCGACCUCCCCCAUAUCUGUGCUGAAUACUUUUUCGGACGAUCCGAAAUUGGACGACAGCAAAGUAGUUGACCUAUCUCUCCGUCCCGUCACCUUAAGAUCGCUCUCGGGAAUUGCCUUUAUUCACUGCGAUUCUCCCACAAGCGACCUCCAGGAUUCUAAAGAUGAAGGAAAUAACAUUUCUCAAGUGAAAAUUAUGCACUCGACAGAUUAUGGUGAAGUUUUUUGUCAAAGCUAUCAAGUAGGUUUUUCUCAACGGCCACCUGAUAAAACGAUCAAUUUUGAAAAUGACGAUGGCCCGUCCAGCGCACUUUUAAAGAUGAUGUGUUCGGCAGAUAACAAGUUGCAUGCCAGCUAUGCCGGACGGUUCCAUGGUCCGCACCACAAAAACGUUUCCAAGUUUUACCAAAAGCUUAUAAAUGAAGAUUUAAAAAAAUUUCGGUCGGAAAAAGAUUUUGAGACUACAAUGAGACCGAGGUCAAGUGAAGCCAAAGGCAAAGAGGCUUUCGCCGAAGGCGUUGGACCAGCCGACCAGUUUAUUCUGGAUUAUGCUGGCUCUGCGGUUGUUUGUGGAUCUUUUUUUCAACUUAUCAAGAAAAAGGAAGGCGAAAUUAAAGCGGGGCCUUUGGCGGAAGUCUUAUUGGACUGGAAAAAGGAAGAUCAUUCGAUUGUAGAAGAAGACACAAGCGAUUGUGCUAGUCAGAGUUAUUUAGUAGAAAGGCGAGCGUCUCCAACUACAACUGUACAAUCGAAGGAAAUCGCCCGCCUUCAAAAGAUCAAAAGGACAACUAUUCGAAAAGACAGGCGCCCCGCUGGUUUUUAAAAGUUUAGAGCUUCAGCAAAGUAAAAACUGUUGAAGAAGUUCUAAAAAAAUAUUAAUAAUUCCAAGUCUGAUGCCAACAGGAUUCUUUAUUUCGUCCAACUCACUUUUGGUACGUCGUAGUGCUCACUUAAAGAGGCCAGAUACUCGUUCAAUUUCUUCAGUUAGAAGAUUACCCCACAAAAAAUAUAAAGCGCGUUUUUUAAGGCGUUCUUCUUCCUAAUUUGAAUAUAAAGGAAAAGUAAUUAAAAUUUCUACGAGAGAAAGGAGGCAUGGAGCUGUUAUAGUGAAAACAAUAAAGUUGAUUUU